AACUAGCCCUGAUUGCAGCGGCAUCCUUUUUUGUUUUUUUGCGCAAUCACUUCUAUUGGAUUGACAAAUGUUCUGAAAAAAACAAAAAAGAUAUAGCGGAAAGCAGGAUUAGCU
rnacentral:sRNA from 1 species